UCUUAUUCCAAUGCAUCUUUUGUCUGUCAUCCUCAAUAAUUCCUUCUAAAAUACUCCAGACUUCCAGCUUUGAUCAAUUAUCUGGACAUCAACCCUCUUCAUAUUGGGUGAUGAUUUCUGUCUCAUUCAUCUCCAAGCUUUCUUUUUUCCUUAAUCAAGCUUAAUUACCCCCUUUCUGAAGUUCAAGAAAUUGAAGCAUCUGGGGCAUAGCAAUUGGGCUUCAGCUGAUUAGGGAAAUCUUUCAAGAAUCCAAGGCAAACCCUUUUGAUGUUGUUCUCAAUUUUUCUCUCAGUUGGAUAAGCUGUGAGAAUAGCUAUAGCUAUAGCUUUUUAAAGUAUGUGCUACUCUUUUCAUCUUGAAGAGGUAUGAGCUAUAGCUUUUUCAGUCUGUACUACUCUCGAGUUCCUGGAGGUUUUUAAAGUUAUAGAUUUUUUGUUUUUCCUUUAUUUGUUGCGGGAUUUGCAAUUAUAUGCCCAGAAAAGAACAUAGCUUUUGUUGCUGAAGUUUGAAACCUGAAAGGGUAUGAUUACAUUGCUUUUUUCAUGUACAAAAGGGGAUUUUUAUAGCUGAAGUUUGAAGCCUAAAAGAGAAUUUGUGGUGUUGUUUCGUCAUGUUGCCUGAUCAGUGUGGAUCUAGCUUGCUUCUGCAUCUACCAGAUGAUGUUCUAAUCAUAGUCACCAGGUCCCUCACUCCCAAGGAUUUAUGUAAUCUUGGUCUUUGCUGUCGAGGGCUGUGUGAAUUAGUGGCCUGUGAGAAGGUCUGGCUUGCACAGUGUGAUAAGCUGGGGGUAGUUCCUUAUAAGGAUCUUAGUGAGUGGAGGAAAGGAGUUUCAUCCUACAAGGCGAUUUGCCGGUUUCUUGUUGGUGUCUUUCCUCUGCUUGGAAUAUGGGUUCACCAAAAUCCUGAGCUUGGCAAUGUAGUUUAUGUCAUGCCUGGUUUUGUGUCGGUUGUUGGGUGCCGAAUUAUACCUCAAGAAAUUGGACCUUUAGGGAUUGAAGAUGGCCCAAUUUUAUGGGCGCCCGUAUUUGAGAUUCUUUGUGAUUUUGAGGGCUCUGCUGAAUUUUUCUUGCAUGGAAGGGAGAGAGACCAUGACUAUGUCUAUCCUGGUUCACUCAAGGCAGUUGAUAGGACUUGUAAUGUGCUCUUACUUGAGGUUGAGCCUCGGCAGCAGAGGAAUGUGGGUAUAUUGGCCCACAGCAAAAGUUUUGCCCAUGAUUUGGAUAAGGAUUUCUCACGGAAGAUUUCUCGGUCGGAUAGUGGUAUUUCAAAGUCAAACAGAAUUGUUGGACACAAUGCCUCAAUGGUGCCUUUUAGCAGAAUGGCAUUUGGUGAUAGGAGAAAGCUUCUAGACCUUGUCACUGGUCAAGUCCGGCUGCAGGUCCGAGACGCAAAAAAUUCACUCCUGUUUCCUCGUUUAAGGGGUGAUGUUGAUUUAUCAGAGGAUAUAGCAAUCCUAUCUGAAAGAAGAUUGCUGCUUAUGCAGAUGUAUAAUCUUGGUAGCAGCCCCAGUGAUAGGAAAGCUGGUGCCAGAUUGCUGUUGGAUCCUACUCAAUUAGAAAUGAGUGAAAUCAGAAAGAAUAUGAAUUGUACACAUGGCUGUGAAACUUCAUGGUAUGGUGAUGGCAGCCGGACUCAGUGCAUGAAAAAGAAAACUCUUACUGGAUAUUUCAGGGAUAGUUUUAGGCAUAUGCUUGGGAAAUCAAACUCAAUUAAUGGUAGCCGUGAGACAUUGAAAAAGAAUUUUUCUUCCGGGGGAAACAGACAUGCACAGCUUCAUGAGUUUCUGCAUUCUGGUGACACAAUAGGACUGACGUUACAUGCUUCAACUGUGAAAUUAUCGUCUUACAGGGCAUGGCCUAAUAUGCAUGAUAGUCGGUUUGCUCUUUACAAGCUGCCCAUGCGGGAGCCAGUAGCAGGCCAAGAAUAUUCUGGUCUUUGGGGAGGUACAUUUGGUUGGCCUCCUGGGCGGCCUAGCGAAGACAAGCUUGGAAAGGCUCUCUUUUUCCUUUUGCUCUCUUAUGAGAAGUCACAGGGCCAGACUUUACUCAUAGCUACCAAGAUAUUAGAAGGUACUCAUUACGUUCUUCAUCCAAAUGGCUCUGCUAUGUUCAUAGUCAAUAUUGAUGAAUCUUCACUGGAGCCAUUUCCUUGGGAGGCUGAUGAAGAUGGCCGUGUUCUUAACGUAGAGUGUGCUUAUAAUGGGGAAGGUAUUGCAAAUGGGUACGGUUUCAGAUAUCCUGGUUCAAAACCUGGCUCUUUAUUUGUGAUUCAAGAUGGACUGCUCGCUUUUGUAUGGAGGGAGUCUAAAUCAGUUUUGACCUUACAGAGGCUUAACUUAGAGAAGCUUUUGAAGAAAGGUGAACGGAUGCAUGCACUACCUCCAGUUUCCAAUUUCGCUUAUCUGACCCGGUCCUAUUCCAAUGUGUUUGCUGCCUUCUCUAAUUCUGCUAAUAGUUUGUCUUCACAAAGGUAAUGUCUUAUACUGUAAAUUUAGCAUUGCCAACAAUUCUGAGACAGCUUUGAUUACUGUUGUUCAAGAUAUGCAGCAAAGACGCUGAUGCAUGUAAUGUAUUUAGGGCAGGGUAUGAUGCUAUUUGGGGUAAUCAUGGGUACCGUGCAUGCUAGAGUGAAGUUGAUUAAGCUGCAACAUAUCUCUCUCGGCUAUAUUCUGGAAAGGCAACGAGGAUAUACAGAUAGUUAAUGACUUCCAAAAGCACUUACUGAUGUCGAGGGUCUACUAUUUUUCGUGGGACAUCAUAAUAACAUUGAGAAGUUAAGCUGACCAGUACAAAAUUCCCAAUCUUGGUAGUAAUACAUAAUUUGGUAUCUGUCAAUACAAUCUUCCGUGUAUUCUUGCAUUUGUUGGGGUGUCUCCUUUGCUUUUGACAAGAGCUCCUAGUUUGGGAAGGAAGUUUGCUGUUAGAGAAUGGUAGAAGUUCGAGUUUGUUGAUUUUUCAGAGCACAUGAAGGUGCUCAUUCUGUACGUCUUCUAGAUGAUCAAAUACAGUUGAGACAGAAAGUACCAUGAUGUAGAUGUUAUCAGAGUGACAAUUCUGUUGAGAUUUAUAUGUAUACUUUCCAGAACAAAGUUGUCAAUAAUAUGCUGCUCCUUGAUUUUGCAACA